UUAAACCGCGGCGCCGCGGCGCCCGGGUGUGGAUCCCUAGAUGGGAGCCGGGGAUGGGCCGGGUGCCUGGUGGGUGGCAGUCGGGGCUGACGGCGGCGGCACUUUGCCGCCUCAGGCCCUGGACACCUUCACCCCGCCGCCUGCCCAGGCGGGCCGGCCCUGCCCGUCCACCGGCCGCCGAGAGUCCCCGGCCUUGGGUCCCCGGGGCCGCUGACUGGCCUCGGUCACCUCCCGGGGAAGGCUCCCGCGCCUCCAUCUGCCCCCGCAGGAAGGGACCCUCUUCUCGCCCGCGAGGCUUCUCCGGGUGGGAUCGUCCUGGCCCCCAGCCCUAAGGGAUCCGCCCCCUCCGAGCAUCCGCCGCCCCUCGGAGACCACUCCAGCUCGGACGGACCCACUCCAGCCCCCGCUGCACGCGGAAGCGCUCAUCCUCCCCGCCUGCCCCGUUCCCUCCCCCUUCUCCUGUGGGACAACCAGGGACCGCAGCUCCCCGCUCCCCAGGUGUGGGGGCUCCGACACGAACGCCUCUGCUCGCAGGGCGGUGAGCGCAGAUCCCACGGGUCCCUCGGUCGGGGGUCGAGGCUGCUUCCGUUUCCAUCCCGGACCCGACAAUGGGCGGGAAAAAGAAGGCUUUACACGACUACGCGGCGGAGUUCACCGACCUGGUGGUGAAGCACCUGAUUGAGCACAGUGACUCUGGGGACACGUCUGUGGUGGAGACCCUUUACUGCAGGGCCUGCGAGCUGCCCGUGCGCGUGCGGAGGGACCGCAUCCUGGAACACCUGUCCUCGGGCAGGCAGCACGGCCUGCGGACGCCCAUUCUCAUGUAAAUGUCAGUGCCAACGCUGGUGUUUCAGGAGUCAUCCCAGCGGGCUGCGGGCUAUUUUAGGAUUCUCUGCCCUGCAAACGUUUCCAAAGUACGUGGACAGGCCGCCUGAUGACACUACGUUUACGGGAUCUGCUAGUGGCUUGCCUACUUAGGGAGUAAACCCUGUGAAGUCUCGCAGUUUUGUUAAAGUGUGCGUGGCCACCUGAAUGCUGCCUUAUCACAAGCCAGAUACAUACUGGUCUGUAGGGUAACUCCCCACUGUUGAUCCUCUGAGAUGAUUGUGGACUGGGUGCUGUGAGUCCUGCCACUUUGUUUAAGUGAAUGUGUCUUUUGUCCAGCUCAGCCGCCUCGGAUCUCGCUGCCACCAGCCUUACUGCACACCCGUGCCACCCGCCCUUGCCCCGUCAGCCUCAGCCUCAGCUCAUUCUCUCAGGCAGUCCCAGCAUUGGCACGGUACCUCCUCCCGCUGUGGGCCACACGUCUCUGCUCCCUGUCAACCCUCCUGCCAUCAGCACCACCACCAGCGACUUGUCUGCCCGGGAGGAUGCAACACCAUCUGCCUCCACCGGCCACCUUUCAGUGUUUCCUGCUUUCCAAGUAAAGAUACCAGCAGUGCCCUCAGAGCAGACCAGCCAGAGUUUUUCUGAAGCCUCCCACAGGGUGCUCCCCGGAGGAGGCCCGAGAUGCUCUCGUGACUUUGGAGCCGGGGUGGCUGGCCACCUUGGCCUGGGCAUCUUUGGGGUGGGCUUCGGGAGCCCGGCACUGCUGCAGAGUGUGGUGGAUGAGAACAGCUGCUGCUUGCUGUACGUGGUGGAGGACCAGCUGUGUGAUGUGGAGCAAGCCUUCAGAGCUGAGCAUUUGGGCCAACACCAGAGUGGUUCGGGAACAGGAUGCAGACAUUGUCCUCAACGACCAGCGGCACUUUGAUCCGGUUUUCCAGUUCUUGCACAAGCAAGUUUGUGUCAGCCACGCCCUGGGGAGGAUCCACUGGAUCACCGCCGUCACUGCCUGUUCCCGGCGGCCUCUCCGGCUUCCCUAAAGAGAGCAGCUUCCCUCGAGACCAGAAGCCAGAGCUCACCCUCCCUUGUGUCCAGGUGGGACUUUCUACAACGCUGCUGUGCACGACGUGGAUGCCGUAUGCAUGUUGCUGGGGGAAGCCACUCCGGACACUGUGUUUUCUCUGGGACAUGUCUUCUGCCCAGGUUGCAAAGGUGAAGAAACACAGUCCCGGCUGGAAGUCACAGCCAGGGUGGGAUGCACACAGAUUAGCAGAUCAUCAGCGAGCACCAGGUGAAGGCGGGGCUGGGGAUGCUGGUUCCUAGGUCCUGGCCUGGCAGCAGAAGCUCAGGGUGGGUCCUGAGGGCUGCUGAAGAGGACAGAUUAUCUGUUGCUUU
rnacentral:lncRNA from 1 species